rnacentral:rRNA from 1 species
UAUUCUCAAUCAGUGAAAUUGACUUCCCCGUGCAGAGGCGGGGAUACAUAUACAAGACGAGAAGACCCUGUGGAGCUUAAGACUAAUAAGUUAAUUCAACAAAAUUAAAUUCUAAAGGAAUAACAUAAUGAAACUUAACCUAUAGUCUUUGGUUGGGGUGACCUCGGAGUAUAAAACAACCUCCGAAUGAUAUAACCUAGAUUAACUAAUCUAAGUGUAUAAAUAAUACCAGUAAUUGACCCAAUUUUUGAUCAACGGACCAAGUUACCCCAGGGAUAACAGCGCAAUCCUAUUUUAGAGCCCAUAUCGACAAUUAGGGUUUACGACCUCGAUGUUGGAUCAGGACAUCCAAAUGGUGCAACCGCUAUUAAUGGUUCGUUUGUUCAACGAUUAAAGUCCUACGUGAUCUGAGUUCAGACCGGAGAAAUCCAGGUCGGUUUCUAUCUGUAUAUUCAUUUCUCCCAGUACGAAAGGACAAGAGAAAUAAGGCCAACAUUAAUAGAUGAGCCUUAGAAUUAAUAUAUGAACUAAUCUAAAUAUUCUCAUUCAAUA